CGUGCCGGUAGUGGCGCGCGAUGCUCCGCGUGAUGACGUCACGCUAUUUCCCGUUACGCGAUCGCAAGGAGCAUUAGCAUGGCUGCGUUAUCUCUCGUUCUCUCGGGACACCGGACGCGAUCAUCCCUUACAGAUAAUAAUUACCGGUAAGCGCCAUGAACUAGCCUCAUUACGCCACGAACGACUCGUGAGGUUAGAUAACAGCUAUGCCUCGGUACGCGAAUACGCCGAGCAACAAUUCGACGUCCCGGAACGACGUUCGAAGUAGAAAGAGUCCCGUUCGCGUUGUGACGUCUGAAAUACGAUUCGGCUCGCCCUAGAAAUCGGAGCAAUGGCAAACGAUUUUGAAUGCCCGUUUCAUUAAUGUACUUACAUCAAUAAUUUCGUCGAUCUCGUCCGCGACGCCUGACUUACAGCGUACGACGAUGAUUUGCGUGUGUCGUUCUCUGAUCGCGAGCGCGGAGUGAUACACAAAUCGUAGAUCCGUAUGGUUUGACUAACAAAAUGCCACACUGUCGUACAUAAUUAAUUCUUUAAUAAUCGAAAUAUGAGGGGCAUAGCGCGUGACAGAGUAAUAUACUGUACUCGUAUCUUGCAAGAAUACAUAAAAUAAUGCGUAAUAAUGGGCGCGCGAUACUCGACGCUCGUUUUUUUUAUGGCGUAUGCGGCGAUGUUUGUAGGCGUCGCUCGGUCAUCGUUGGCGGCAACGAAAAACUCCGCGGAGUAAUACACAAAUCGUCGAUCCGCGAGGUUUGACUAACAAAAUACCGCACUGUCGUACAUAAUUAAUUGUUUAGUAAUCGAAAUAUGAGGGGUACAGCGCGUGACACGGUAAUAUACUGUACUUGUAUCUUGCAAUAAUACAUAAAAUAAUGCGUAAUAAUGGGCGCGCGAUACUCGACGCUUGUUUUUUUUAUGGUGUAUGCGGCGAUGUUUGUAGGCGUCGCUCGGUCAUCGUUGGCGGCAACGAAACUCCGCGGAGUAAUACACGAAUCGUCGAUCCGCGGGGUUUGACUGACAAAAUGCCGCACUGUCGUACGUAAUUGAUUUUUGAAUAAUCAAACUGUAAGGGGCGCAGUAUAUUGCAGGGUAACAUGCUGUACUUGUAUCUUGUAAGAAUACAUAAAAUAAUGCGUAAUGACGGGCGCGCGACACUCGACGCUCGUUUUUUUUAUGGCGUAUGCGGCGAUGUUUGUAGGCGUCGCUCGGUCAUCGUUGGCGGCAACGAAAAACUCCGCGGAGUAAUACACAAAUCGUCGAUCCGCGAGGUUUGACUAACAAAAUGCCGCACUGUCGUACAUAAUUAAUUUUUUAAUAAUCGAAAUAUGAGAGGCAUAGUGCGUGACAGGGUAAUAUACUGUACUUGUAUCUUGUAAGAAUACAUAAAAUAAUACGUAAUGACGGGCGCGCAACACUCGACGCUUGUUUCGUUCGCGUCGGUUGGUUAAUUAGCGUUUGCGACAACGAAAAACUCCGUCUGCCUAUAUUUUGUUUUGCGGUACGUCGUCGCGGCGAGUAUCAAGACACUCGAUUAUUCCCUAACGUGGAUCCGUGCGAUUGAAUUAGUUCCGCGUUUGAGAAUCGCAUCGCGAUUGUAAUUAACGGUCUUUACGCGAGUGUUGUGUUGUGUGAAAAAAGAGGCUGAGGAACCUGAGAGGAGGAGGAGGCUACCCGGGAAGCUUGAGUGACGGCGGAGCAACCGUAAGUUCAACGUAGUUCGUGUUUCAACUCCGCUGCUGCACAUCGUAUCGUAUCGCUGCAGCUUCGUGGUUGAAUAACUCCGCUCGUUGCGCAUCGGGUCGGUGAGUCAAAAAUCAAUUUUUGUAUUAUAUUUUAAUGUUUUGGAAAUGUCCUGCGCAGGAUUAAAAUAUAAUAUUAU